rnacentral:rRNA from 1 species
CCUACGGGUGGCAGCAGUGGGGAAUAUUGGACAAUGGGCGAAAGCCUGAUCCAGCCAUGCCGCGUGUGUGAAGAAGGCCUUCGGGUUGUAAAGCACUUUCAGUGGGGAAGAAAGCCUUGGGGCUAAUACCCUCGAGGAAGGACAUCACCCACAGAAGAAGCACCGGCUAACUCCGUGCCAGCAGCCGCGGUAAUACGGAGGGUGCGAGCGUUAAUCGGAAUUACUGGGCGUAAAGCGCGCGUAGGCGGUCUGAUAAGCCGGUUGUGAAAGCCCCGGGCUCAACCUGGGAACGGCAUCCGGAACUGUCAGGCUAGAGUGCAGGAGAGGAAGGUAGAAUUCCCUGUGUAGCGGUGAAAUGCGUAGAGAUCGGGAGGAAUACCAGUGGCGAAGGCGGCCUUCUGGACUGACACUGACGCUGAGGUGCGAAAGCGUGGGUAGCAAACAGGAUUAGAUACCCGAGUAGUC